rnacentral:rRNA from 1 species
UACGUAAGGUGCAAGCGUUAAUCGGAAUUACUGGGCGUAAAGCGUGCGCAGGCGGUUGUGUAAGACAGAUGUGAAAUCCCCGGGCUCAACCUGGGAACUGCAUUUGUGACUGCACGGCUGGAGUGCGGCAGAGGGGGAUGGAAUUCCGCGUGUAGCAGUGAAAUGCGUAGAUAUGCGGAGGAACACCGAUGGCGAAGGCAAUCCCCUGGGCCUGCACUGACGCUCAUGCACGAAAGCGUGGGGAGCAAACAGG